UACAGAGGUCUCAAGCGUUGUUCGGAUUCAUUGGGCGUAAAGGGUGCGUAGGUGGCGUCGUAAGUCGGGUGUGAAAUUUCGGAGCUUAACUCCGAAACUGCAUUCGAUACUGCCGUGCUUGAGGACUGGAGAGGAGACUGGAAUUUACGGUGUAGCGGUGAAAUGCGUAGAUAUCGUAAGGAAGACCAGUGGCGAAGGCGGGUCUCUGGGCCGGUACUGACACUGAGGAGCGAAAGCGUGGGUAGCAAACAGG
rnacentral:rRNA from 1 species